AUUGAACGCUGGCGGCAGGCCUAACACAUGCAAGUCGAGCGGAUGACGGGAGCUUGCUCCUUGAUUCAGCGGCGGACGGGUGAGUAAUGCCUAGGAAUCUGCCUGGUAGUGGGGGACAACGUUUCGAAAGGAACGCUAAUACCGCAUACGUCCUACGGGAGAAAGCAGGGGACCUUCGGGCCUUGCGCUAUCAGGUGAGCCUAGGUCGGAUUAGCUAGUUGGUGGGGUGAUGGCUCACCAAGGCGACGAUCCGUAACUGGUCUGAGAGGAUGAUGAGUCACACUGGAACUGAGACGCGGUCCAGACUCCUACGGGAGGCAGCAGUGGGGAAUAUUGGACAAUGGGCGAAAGCCUGGUCUAGCCAUGCCGCGUGUGUGAAGAAGGUCUUCGGAAUGUAAAGCACUUCAAGUUGGGAGGAAGGGCAGUAAGCUAAUACCUUGCUGUUUUGACGUUACCGACAGAAUAAGCACCGGCUAACUCUGUGCCAGCCGCCGCCGUAA
rnacentral:rRNA from 1 species